GAAGAAGGUCUUGUUAUUAAAAAAAGCAUAAAGUAAGUCUCAUAAAACUAUUUUGUAAGUCCAAUAAUUAAAGUAGAAUGAAUCAAAAAAGUUGUGUAAUAGAAAGCGAUAGAAAAAAGUACUGUGAAGGAAAGAUGAAAUAAAUUGAAAAUAUAAUUAAAAGAAAGUAGUAAUAAGUGUCCGUACCUUGUGUAUCAGGGAAAACUCAUAUUAAUAGUAAAUAAAAAAGUCCCGAAAAAAAAAGAGUUAACUUAUAGUAAAAGUUUUCGUUUUAACGAAAUUUAUAACUGUAUUUUAGCGGUGAGAUGUCAUCCGAUUUUUUAUACCUGGUUAUUGACGAAUAAAAUUUAAUUUUAUUUUAGGGUGGUAUACAAAAACUACUUUAAGAUAAAGAAAAGGAGGGAAAAGCUUCUUUUUCUAGUAAUAAACAAAAAACGGCAAAAUAAAUUUAAAGUUGCUGAGCUAGGCUUAAAAGCAGCCAUGUUAAUAAAGCGUUCUAGCUAGUGUAAAAAAAGACAUUAUUUUUAAUAAGCCUUCUGUUGGUAGUCAAAAUUAUUAUUUAAUAUUAAAAUAAAAGUUAAAUUGGUUUUAUUAGUAGAAACUUGUGUUUUAAAAUAUAUUAAAAUCUAAAAAAUACUUUAAGAAUUUGAAAAAUAUAAUUAAGGAACUCGGCAAAAAAGUACUUCUGCCUGUUUAUCAAAAACAUGUCUGUAUGGUGGUUAUAUAGAGUCUAGCCUGCCCACUGAUAUAAAUUAAAGGGCCGCGGUAUUCUGACCGUGCGAAGGUAGCAUAAUCAUUAGUCUCUUAAUUGGAGGCUUGUAUGAAUGGUUGGACAAGAAGUAAUCUGUCUCUAUUAUACAAAUUGAACUUAACUUUUAAGUGAAAAGGCUUAAAUACCUUAGGGGGACGAUAAGACCCUAUAAAGCUUUACAACAAAAUAAAAUGUAUUAGCACUCGUACAAGUAUAACCUAAUCCACUUAAGAGUUGUUUCGUUGGGGCGACGGGGAUAUAAUAAAAUAACUGUUCUUUAAUAAAAAGUACAGUAAUUGCUGUAUAAAAAUUGAUCCUUUAUUAAAGAUCAAAAGAUUAAGUUACUUUAGGGAUAACAGCGUAAUCUUCUUUAAGAGUUCAUAUCGACAAGAAGGGUUGCGACCUCGAUGUUGAAUUAAGGUAUCCUUGUGGCGCAGCAGUUAUAGAGGAAGGUCUGUUCGACCUUUAAAUCCUUACAUGAUUUGAGUUCAGACCGGCGUAAGCCAGGUCGGUUUCUAUCUCCUAGUUUUAUAAAAUCAUCUUAGUACGAAAGGAUUUGAUGGUUAAAAUAAUUUUAAGCUGAAGAUUAAUUUUAACAGU
rnacentral:rRNA from 1 species